rnacentral:lncRNA from 1 species
CUAAGGUGGAAGUCCCGUGUCUCCAAAAGUAAAGAGAAAGGCACAUUGAUAAUUCAAAAAUGCAAAUUCCCUUUUACUGAAAUUAUACAUUGAAAUGUGCAAAUACACUUUACUGUGAAUAUAUAUAUUUUUAUACUCCACUUUAGGUCCCACUCCUUCACUUGUGGUCUAGGCUGUGGUGGAGACAUUAGACAACUUUAUGUCCAUGGAUUUGGAGAAUGUGCAUAUGUUGUGCUACUACAUCUUAAAGAUAGUUGAAGUAUGAAAUGUAAGACUGCUGCCACAUUACCCUUAUCACACUCUCUUACUCCCUGUGAAUGGAAUGUACCAGACCAUUUUCUCUGAGAACCUCUGGUUGAAUUACAAUCACACAAGCUGCAAUGAAUGCUGCCAUCUCCUGGUACCUUUUGAAGAGAUGAAAUCUGAGAAGGAGUCAGAUAAAAGGAUAUGGCCACAUUGCUUUCAUCCCAGAAUAACAACACUCAAGUGCCUGAGAAGCCCAACACAGAGUUCAAAGUCUUUAUUUCUAGUCUCUGGUGAGAGUGUAAAAGGAAGAAUGUGGGCUUGUUCUUACCUGCCUGAGAUUGAAGAGGAAGGGAAGGGCGGGUGUGACCAUCCCAUCCCACCUAGUGACUUUGCCAUUAAAUCCUUGUGUUAUGCACAUAGUCCCCACAUGCUCUAG